UACUAUGGCCAUGCCACCCUGAACAAGCUCGAUCCUGUCUCAUCUCGGAAACUAAGCAGGGUUGGGCCUCGUUAGUACUUGGAUGGGAGACCACCUAGGAAGACCAGGUGCUGUAGGCG
rnacentral:rRNA from 1 species